GUUUUUGAUCUUUUCAUAUUUUGAAAAAAAUAAUCUUAAAAAUGUAUCCAAAAAUCUUUUGAAAAGCUUAUUAAAUCGAGGCCUUAAUCAGAGAACCUUUUAGAUGUGCUGCUAUCUAAAAACAAACCCUUAUAAUAUGUUUCUCAGUGCUGAUGGUUUAGAUAUCUAUAAGCUCAUAAUGAAAUUGUAUCUAUGUAGCUGCACCUUUGCAUGUUGGCUGGACAAGGCAGAGCCGGUGGUUACGUUUCCCGAAACGCCAGGUGUGCUUUACAAUAUAUGAAAUUAUGUUAUAUUUAAACACUGUAUUUAAUACGAUCUUCAUCUCUGCUUUCUCCUAGAAACGCUUUCUGAUCAGGAAGCUUCUAUAACACAGAACACGUACCAGGUGAAAUGCAAAGAAAGCUGGCUUAUUGUGGGCAGUUUGCUUUUUGAAAUAUGUUACAGAACAAUUGUCAGGAUCAAAGUGUGUUUCAUUAAGUUAUGCUAGAUGGGUUUUUUUUUGUUUUUUUUAAAAAAAUAAUCGUAUGUUUUAUUCCAUUAGAACACCCUCUCUGCACCUCCCUUGCAACCUUCAGUGUUUUAUUUUAUAGCUCCCCAAAUACAUCAUGUUGGGACUUUGGUUUCUAAGAGUAGAAAACUAACAACUGAACUGCGAUUAUGUUUAACUGAGUCACUUCCUUGCUGUAUGUAGAAG